rnacentral:rRNA from 1 species
GACGAACGCUGGCGGCGUGCUUAACACAUGCAAGUCGAGCGGUAAGGCCCUUCGGGGUACACGAGCGGCGAACGGGUGAGUAACACGUGGGUGACCUGCCUCUAGCUCUGGGAUAAGCCUGGGAAACUGGGUCUAAUACCGGAUAUGACUCCACGGCGCAUGUUGUGGGGUGGAAAGCCUUGUGUGGCUAGAGAUGGGCCCGCGGCCUAUCAGCUUGUUGGUGGGGGAUGGCCUACCAAGGCGACGACGGGUAGCCGGCCUGAGAGGGCGACCGGCCACACUGGGACUGAGACACGGCCCAGACUCCUACGGGAGGCAGCAGUGGGGAAUCUUGCGCAAUGGGCGAAAGCCUGACGCAGCGACGCCGCGUGAGGGAAGAAGGCCUGCGGGUUGUAAAGCACUUUUAGUGGGGAUAGAAAAGCCUAGAGCUAAUAUCUCUGGGUCUUGACUUAACUCACAAGAAAAGCACCGGCUAACUCUGUGCCAGCAGCCGCC